rnacentral:rRNA from 1 species
UUCCUACGGGGGGCAGCAGUGGGGAAUAUUGCACAAUGGGGGAAACCCUGAUGCAGCGACGCCGCGUGAGUGAAGAAGUAUUUCGGUAUGUAAAGCUCUAUCAGCAGGAACGAGACAAGACGGUACCUGACUAAGAAGCCCCGGCUAACUACGUGCCAGCAGCCGCGGUAAUACGGAGGAUGCGAGCGUUAUCCGGAUUUAUUGGGUUUAAAGGGUGCGCAGGCGGAGGUGCAAGUCAGCGGUCAAAUUGCGGGGCUCAACCCCGUACUGCCGUUGAAACUGCAUCCCUUGAGUGCGCGAGAAGU